CGUAGGGACCGAGCGUUGUCCGGAUUCAUUGGGCGUAAAGAGCUCGUAGGCGGCCACUCAAGUCGAAUGUGAAACCUCGAGGCUUAACCUCGAGCCUGCAUUCGAUACUGGGCGGCUAGAGUCUGGUAGGGGGAUCUGGAAUUCCUGGUGUAGCGGUGGAAUGCGCAGAUAUCAGGAGGAACACCGGUGGCGAAGGCGGGAUCCUGGGCCAGUACUGACGCUGAGGAGCGAAAGCGUGGGGAGCAAACAGGAUUAGAUACCCUGGUAGUCCACGCCGUAAACGAUGGGCGCUAGGUGUGGGGGGUCAUCGACUCCUUCCGUGCCGCAGCUAACGCAUUAAGCGCCCCGCCUGGGGAGUACGGCCGCAAGGCUA
rnacentral:rRNA from 1 species